rnacentral:tRNA from 1 species
GGUCGCGUAACUCAGUUGGUUAGAGUGUCGUACUAAUAAUGCGAAAGCCGAGAGUUCAAGCCUCUCCGUGACCA